UAGUAAGAAACGAUAGUUCAAACAUAAA
rnacentral:sRNA from 1 species